rnacentral:rRNA from 1 species
AGUGAACGCUGGCGGUAGGCCUAACACAUGCAAGUCGAACGGCAGCACAGUAAGAGCUUGCUCUUACGGGUGGCGAGUGGCGGACGGGUGAGGAAUACAUCGGAAUCUACUUUUUCGUGGGGGAUAACGUAGGGGAACUUACGCUAAUACCGCAUACGACCUACGGGUGAAAGCAGGGGAUCUUCGGACCUUGCGCGAGUGAAUGAGCCGAUGUCGGAUUAGCUAGUUGGCGGGGUAAAGGCCCACCAAGGCGACGAUCCGUAGCUGGUCUGAGAGGAUGAUCAGCCACACUGGAACUGAGACACGGUCCAGACUCCUACGGGAGGCAGCAGUGGGGAAUAUUGGACAAUGGGCGCAAGCCUGAUCCAGCCAUACCGCGUGGGUGAAGAAGGCCUUCGGGUUGUAAAGCCCUUUUGUUGGGAAAGAAAAGCAGCAGGUUAAUACCCCGCUGUUCUGACGGUACCAAAAGAAUAAGCACCGGCUAACUUCGUG